rnacentral:rRNA from 1 species
AGAGUUUGAUCCUGGCUCAGGACGAACGCUGGCGGCGUGCUUAACACAUGCAAGUCGAACGAGAAAGGCUCUUCGGAGCCGAGUACAGUGGCGAACGGGUGAGUAACACGUGGGCAACCUGCCCCAGGGAGCGGGACAACUCGGGGAAACUCGAGCUAAUACCGCAUGAUUCGUGCAGUCAUAAGGCCGCACGGGAAAUGGUAGCUUCGGCCUCCGCCCUGGGAUGGGCCCGCGGCGCAUUAGCUUGUUGGUGUGGGUAACGGCCCACCAAGGCGACGAUGCGUAGCUGGUCUGAGAGGACGAUCAGCCACACUGGGACUGAGACACGGCCCAGACUCCUACGGGAGGCAGCAGUGAGGAAUUUUCCGCAAUGGGCGAAAGCCUGACGGAGUAAUACCGCGUGCGGGAGGAAGGUCUACUGACUGUAAACCGCUUUUAUUAAGAAAGAAUUCUGACGGUACUUAAUGAAUAAGCCUCGGCUAACUCCGUGCCAGCAGCCGCGGUAAUACGGAGGAGGCAAGCGUUAUCCGGAAUUAUUGGGCGUAAAGCGUCCGUAGGUGGUUUUGUCAGUCUGCUGUCAAAGCCCGUGGCUCAACCACGGGAAGGCAGUGGAAACUACAAAACUCGAGUGCAGUAGGGGCAGAGGGAAUUCCCAGUGUAGCGGUGAAAUGCGUAGAGAUUGGGAAGAACACCCGUGGCGAAAGCGCUCUGCUGGAGAGCAACUGACACUCAGGGACGAAAGCUAGGGGAGCGAAUGGGGAUUAGAUACCCCCGUAGUCCA